rnacentral:lncRNA from 1 species
UUAAAAUAAUAUAUAAAUAUAAUAUAUUUUAAUUAUAUGUAGGCUGAAUGAGUAAUCUGAGUUUAGAUAAAAAUGGGCUAAUAUUGCUGGCCCACAAAACAAACCCAAUAGACAAAUAAAAAGUCAAAAUUCUACUAAAUUUACACUCUCCCCCUCUCUUUCUUUCAUAUAUCUCUAAAUCCUUAAUCUCUUUCUCUCUCUCUUUUCUCUGUCUGUCUGUCUCUCACCCUAA